CAAGUGUGAACCACCACAUCCGGCCUUCCAAUUUCAUUUUACUAAUAAUUUAAAAACUAGCUUUAUUUACCAAAUAUUAUCACAUAUGCACAGCACAUAUAGACAUAGAGACACACAGACAGAAGCAGAACUUAUAACUUCCUUAACAAAUACUCAUUUGCCAGCUUUCAAGUAGUUUUUCUUUUCCCCAUUCAAACUAUCAGUCUUUCAAUUACCUAUUUCAAUGCCCUAAACAAUUGUUAGCUAAGCAGCCCUAAACUUGCAUGUCUAAAGGGAUGACUCUUAGGUGGAACAAGGUAGAAAAUUUAUAUCUCAAAAGCACAGAGCUAGUUGGGGGUGGUGGCUCAUGCCUGUAAUCCCAGCACUUUGGGAGGCCAAGGCUGGUAGAUCACUUGAAGCCAGAAGUUUGAGAGCAGCCUGACCAACAUGGCGAAUCCCAUCUUUACUAAAAAUACAAAAAUUUAGCUGGGCGUGGUGAUGUAUGCCUGUAAUCCCAGCUACGUGGGAGGCUGAGGCACAAGAAUCAUAUGAAUCCAGGAGGCAGAGGUUGCAGUGAGCUGAGAUUGCAUCACUGCACUACAGAAAGGGUGACAGAGCAAGACUGUGUCUCAAAAAAAAAAAAGCAUCAAGCUGAGACUUCAGAUCUAAAUACUGUAGCAUCAUUUGCCCAAACCAAGGAAGAAGAAUGUGAAGACCCAGUUAAAACAAGAUGGCAGUGAACAAAGAUUCAGCGAUUACAUCUCUAUGGGUAUCUGUAAACCCCUGCCGACCUCUCCCUCACCUUCAGUCCCACACUUCCACCCGCCUGAGGAACUCUUCCACUGUGUUGUCUCAUGCACGUUGGCCCCAAGCUUCAAUGCUCCAAAUUGACCUCAUCAUUCUUGCACCUCCCAGGCUUGAAACCUAGGAAUUAUUUUCAACUCCUACCUCUCCCUUGGCACAGGUACCCAAUUAGUCACCAUUUUAAUCAUCCGCUGCUGGUAAUCACUGUGACAUUUAUCCUAUUGUAUCUGGCAGUGAGAUGGCUGUGGCUGUCAAGCUGACACACAAAUCAAGCAGAAUAAAACCCCACCCAGAAAAGGCUGGCAUCAGCAUGGAACUCUGUUACAAACAUCAAAAGCAGUCUGUGGGCCGGGUGCAUUGACUCAUGCCUGUAAUCCUAGCACUUUGGGAAGCCGAGGCAGGAGAAUCACUUGAGCCAAGGAGCUCAAGACCAGCCUGAGCAACAGAUUGAGACCCCAUUUCUUUUAUUUAUUUAUUUUAAAAAAAUUUUUUAAAUUUGUUUUUGAGACAGAGUAUCUCUCACUGUUGCCCAGGCGGGAGUGCAGUGGUGUGAUCUCGGCUCACUGCAACCUCCGCCUCCCAGGUUCAAGCGAUUCUCCUGCCUCAAUCUCCAGAGUAGCUGGCAUUACAGGCAUGUGCCACCACGCUGGACUAAUUUUUUGUAUUUAGUAGAGACAGGGUUUCACCAUCAUGGUCAGGCUGGUCUCGAACUCCAGGUGUGAGCCACCAUGCCUGGCUGAGACCCCAUUUCUAUUACACAAAUAAUUAGCCAGGUGUGGUGGCUUGCACCUGUAGUCCCAGACAUUCGGGAGGCUGAGGUGGGAAUUUGAGGCUGCAGUGAGCCAUGAUCAUACUACCACGCUCCAGCCUGGGCAACUGAACAAGGCCCUGUCUCAAAAAAAAAAAAAAAAAAAAAAAAGUGGUGUUAUGGGGCUGACGGGAGGGGAUGGGGAGAUGUGAUCAAGGCCAAGCUAGAGUGAGAGCAGAUCCAGUAAGUGGAGUGAGCAGAGGAAUGAAGUCAUGAGCCGAGAGCCCACCCAGCGGCUGAGUUCAACCUUGAAGGCUCUGGGGGAGGAGCACCUAACAUUUGUUUGGCAUCUGCUAAGCAAUCAAGGCCUUUUGCAUAUUUUAUCAUCUUCAUCCUGGCAGCAAGACGUGGGAUAGAUGGUGAAUCUGACAUUUGCCUGGCACCUUUGGUUUUUGUUUUCUUUUCACAAACUCUAACUCAUUUGAUUCCAUGGUAACCCAGUGAAGUGGUCAGAGCCCUCUUUGGUGAAUGAGAAAACUGGAUCCAAAAGUCCUCCAUAUCCUCGUUACUCAAAGUGUGGUCAUCAGUAUCACCUGGGAGCUUGUUAGAAACACAGAUCGCCCGCUUAUCCCAGGCUCACCCACUGGAAUGUGCAUUUAAACAAGAAGCCCAGGGAUUCGUGGGCACAUUAAAGCUGAUCUAUGUGACUGCUGGAGGAGUCUGGACCAGCCUUACACAGCUAAGUCUGCCCCUGGUCAGCAACGUUUGGCACAAAUGCCAAGGUUACCUGCAACUCUGAGACAAGCUUGGCCAUCAGCGGGGAGUGAGGCUGACAGAGCUGGGGACUGGGCGGUGAGAGGAGAGUGGAAAAGGGAAGUCAAGUCAAGGGUUGUUUGUGGGGAUUAUGCUGUGUGCUCCAGCACCCGUCAGGUGCUCCAGGACUGAUGAUGCAGCUGAGGACUGGGAAGCAGGAGACCAUCAAGGAAGAUGGCAGCCCAGCCCAUGGAGGCAAGCAAAAUGGAGUGGCUGAAGAGUUAGUGCUGGAGGAGGCACAGUCCCCUGGGAGUGGAGGGUCUUCCUGAGUGAGAGAGAAGGCAGGAGGAGAGCUCUUAGUAAGUAGAUGCUGAAUGAAUCCUGGUCCUGAGCUGAUGACACCUGAGGGCUGUUGAAGAGUGACAGGCCCCAGCCUUCCUACAUUGGGCCUGCAUGUCCAGUAAAAGGGGAGAGCCAGAGGAGGAAAGUCCAUCUUCUCACGGGAUAAGAAGACGAAUCUCCUGACCUCCCUGGACUUCAAGGACAUGUGUGCCUGUACUGGCAGGAGUCUUCCUCUUCUUCUCUUUUUAAAAGAUGGGGUCUUACUAUGUUGCCCA
rnacentral:lncRNA from 1 species